GCAGGUUGAAGCGCGGGUAAGACCGCGUGGAGGACCGAACCCACCUGGGUUGAAAACCGGGGGGAUGACCUGGGGCUAGGGGUGAAAGGCCAAUCAAAUUCCGUGAUAGCUGGUUCUCUCCGAAAUGCAUUUAGGUGCAGCGUCGGUCGAUUGCGUCGCGGGGGUAGAGCUACCGGAUGCUUGCGGGCCCUUGUUGGGUACCAACAGCAGCCGAACUCCGAAUACCGUUGACGUGUAUUCCGGCAGUGAGUCGGCGGGGGAUAAGCUCCGUCGUCGAGAGGGAGACAGCCCAGACCGUCGUCUAAGGUCCCGAAGCGUGUGCUAAGUGGGAAAGGAUGUGGAGUCGCAUAGACAGCCAGGAGGUUGGCUCAGAAGCAGCCAUCCUUGAAAGAGUGCGUAACAGCUCACUGGUCUAGUGGUUCCGCGCCGACAAUGUAGCGGGGCUCAAGCACACCACCGAAGACGCGGCAGCAAUCUUCAUGGUUGCUGGGUAGGAGAGCGUCCUGCGAGGGGCGAAGCGGCCGGGUAACCGUGCCGUGGACUUCGUGGGAGUGAGAAUGCAGACAUGAGUAGCGAGAGACGGGUGAGGAUCCCGUCCGCUGGAUGACCAAGGGUUCCGGGGCCACGUUCGUCGUCCCCGGGUGAGUCGGGUCCUAAGGCGAGGCCGACAGGCGUAGUCGAAUGGAUGAACGGGUGGAUAUUCCCGUACCGACCAUGGACCGGCAAAACCGAGACGGUGAGUACUAACCUCCGCCUCGUGGUGGUUCCUUCCUUCGGGUUGGUAUCGCCGCGUGGUGUUGGGACCGUAGCCGUAGUAGGUCAGCGCAGGGGUGACACGGAAUGGGAGCCGGCCGCGGAGGUGGUUUUCCGUGGUCAAGCACGCAGCCAGUCAUGUAGGCAAAUCCGCAUGGCGUGCAUGGCGAGGUGUGAUGAUGGGAGCCGUUAUGGCUCGAUAUCCGGUUGUCCAGGCCGUCGAGAAAAGCCUCGGCGUGAGGGCCAUGGCCGCCCGUACCCCAAACCGACACUGGUGGUCAGGUAGAGAAUACCAAGGCGAUCGAGCGAAUCCUGGUCAAGGAACUCGGCAAAUCACUCCCGUGCCUUCGGUAUAAGGGAGACCCGCUGGGGUGAACCGGCUAGCCCGGGGAGCUUUGGUGGGUGGCACAGACCAGGGGGUAGCGACUGUUUACCAAAAACACAGGUGCAUGCGAAGGCGAAAGCCGCUGUAUAUGCACUGACGCCUGCCCGGUGCCGGAAGGUUAAGAGGAUCCGUCAGUCCCUUCGGGGACGAAGCGGUGAAUUCAAGCCCCGGUAAACGGCGGUGGUAACUAUAACCAUCCUAAGGUAGCGAAAUUCCUUGUCGGGUAAGUUCCGACCUGCACGAAUGGCGUA
rnacentral:rRNA from 1 species